rnacentral:rRNA from 1 species
GUGGGGAAUUUUGGACAAUGGGCGCAAGCCUGAUCCAGCAAUGCCGCGUGCAGGAAGAAGGCCUUCGGGUUGUAAACUGCUUUUGUACGGAACGAAACGGUCCUGGUUAAUACCUGGGGCUAAUGACGGUACCGUAAGAAUAAGCACCGGCUAACUACGUGCCAGCAGCCGCGGUAAUACGUAGGGUGCAAGCGUUAAUCGGAAUUACUGGGCGUAAAGCGUGCGCAGGCGGUUUUGUAAGACAGGCGUGAAAUCCCCGGGCUCAACCUGGGAAUUGCGCUUGUGACUGCAAGGCUGGAGUGCGGCAGAGGGGGAUGGAAUUCCGCGUGUAGCAGUGAAAUGCGUAGAUAUGCGGAGGAACACCGAUGGCGAAGGCAAUCCCCUGGGCCUGCACUGACGCUCAUGCACGAAAGCGUGGGGAGCAAACAGGAUUAGAAACCCUGGUAGUCC